rnacentral:rRNA from 1 species
UACGUAGGUGGCAAGCGUUGUCCGGAUUUACUGGGCGUAAAGCGCCCGCAGGCGGCUUGUUAAGUUCAAGGUGAAAUCUCCCGGCUCAACUGGGAGGGUGCCUCGAAAACUGGCAGGCUUGAGGUGAGGAGAGGGAUGCGGAAUUCCAGGUGUAGCGGUGAAAUGCGUAGAGAUCGGGAGGAACACCUGCGGCGAAGGCGGGUUGCUGGGCCGACACUGACGCUGAUGCGCGAAAGCGUGGGGAGCCAAACAGGG